rfam:Gregarina niphandrodes unplaced genomic scaffold scaffold00100, whole genome shotgun sequence.
GUCUCGGUAGUCUAAUGGGAUGGCGUUCCUGGCUUACUCAUAAAUUAGUGAAUUGAGGGAAUAAUCUGGGUUCGAAUCCUCGCUGGGACA